rnacentral:rRNA from 1 species
GGAUAACUUACCCUUAGGACUGGGAUAACUCUGGGAAACUGGGGAUAAUACUGGAUAUUAGGCUAUGCCUGGAAUGGUUUGCCUUUGAAAUGUUUUUUCGCCUAAGGAUAGGUCUGCGGCUGAUUAGGUCGUUGGUGGGGUAAUGGCCCACCAAGCCGAUGAUCGGUACGGGUUGUGAGAGCAAGGGCCCGGAGAUGGAACCUGAGACAAGGUUCCAGACCCUACGGGGUGCAGCAGGCGCGAAACCUCCGCAAUGUACGAAAGUGCGACGGGGGGAUCCCAAGUGUUAUGCUUUUUUGUAUGACUUUUCAUUAGUGUAAAAAGCUUUUAGAAUAAGAGCUGGGCAAGACCGGUGCCAGCCGCCGCGGUAACACCGGCAGCUCGAGUGGUAGCUGUUUUUAUUGGGCCUAAAGCGUUCGUAGCCGGUUUGAUAAGUCUUUGGUGAAAGCUUGUAGCUUAACUAUAAGAUUGCUGGAGAUACUA